GCUCUGGUGGCUUAGUUGUUAAAGUGUUUGCCUUGAAUGUGGGAGGUUGUGGGUUUGAUCCCCAAAUGAGUCAUACCAAAGACU